rnacentral:tRNA from 1 species
UUCCUGGUAGUCUAGUGGUUAAGAUUCAGCACUCUCACUGUCCAGGCCUGGGUUUGUUUCCCAGUCGGGGAA